UACGUAGGGUGCAAGCGUUAAUCGGAAUUACUGGGCGUAAAGCGUGCGCAGGCGGUUAUGUAAGACAGAUGUGAAAUCCCCGGGCUUAACCUGGGAACUGCGCUUGUUACUGAUAGGCUUGAGUGUGGCAGGGGGGGGUGGAAUUCCACGUGUAGCAGUGAAAUGCGUAGAGAUGUGGAGGAACACCGAUGGCGAAGGCAGCCCCCUGGGCUAACACUGACGCUCAUGCACGAAAGCGUGGGGAGCAAACAGG
rnacentral:rRNA from 1 species